GACGAACGCUGGCGGCGUGCCUAAUACAUGCAAGUAGAACGCUGAAGGAGGAGCUUGCUCUUCUGGAUGAGUUGCGAACGGGUGAGUAACGCGUAGGUAACCUGCCUGGUAGCGGGGGAUAACUAUUGGAAACGAUAGCUAAUACCGCAUAACAGUAGAUGUUGCAUGACAUUUACUUAAAAGGUGCAAUUGCAUCACUACCAGAUGGACCUGCGUUGUAUUAGCUAGUUGGUGGGGUAACGGCUCACCAAGGCGACGAUACAUAGCCGACCUGAGAGGGUGAUCGGCCACACUGGGACUGAGACACGGCCCAGACUCCUACGGGAGGCAGCAGUAGGGAAUCUUCGGCAAUGGACGGAAGUCUGACCGAGCAGCGCCGCGUGAGUGAAGAAGGGUUUCGGAUCGUAAAGCUCUGUUGUAAGAGAAGAACGAGUGUGAGAGUGGAAAGUUCACACUGUGACGGUAGCUUACCAGAAAGGGACGGCUAACUACGUG
rnacentral:rRNA from 1 species